GACGAACGCUGGCGGCGUGCUUAACACAUGCAAGUCGAACGGAAAGGCCCUGCUUUUGUGGGGUGCUCGAGUGGCGAACGGGUGAGUAACACGUGAGUAACCUGCCCUUGACUUUGGGAUAACUUCAGGAAACUGGGGCUAAUACCGGAUAGGAGCUCCUGCGGCAUGGUGGGGGUGGGAAAGUUUCGGCGGUGGGGGAUGGACUCGCGGCUUAUCAGCUUGUUGGUGGGGUAGUGGCUUACCAAGGCUUUGACGGGUAGCCGGCCUGAGAGGGUGACCGGCCACAUUGGGACUGAGAUACGGCCCAGACUCCUACGGGAGGCAGCAGUGGGGAAUAUUGCACAAUGGGCGGAAGCCUGAUGCAGCAACGCCGCGUGCGGGAUGACGGCCUUCGGGUUGUAAACCGCUUUCGCCUGUGACGAAGCGUGAGUGACGGUAAUGGGUAAAGAAGCACCGGCUAACUACGUG
rnacentral:rRNA from 1 species